CAUAGUCAUGCUUCUACUUUUCACUUUAUUUUCCCUUAGUGCCCUGGCUGAGGUUGCUACAGGAAAGAGAGUGGUGCAUAUCCCAUACAGGGACUUGGUCCUGACGAAACUCCUGCAGUCUCCUCAGGGGGGAAACAGCAGGACCAUCAUGAGAUUGCGGCCGUUGAGUCCAGCAGACAUCUGUUACGAAGAAACUUUGUCAACCUUGUGAUAUGCUGAAAGGACAAAACGGGUCAGGAACAAAGCAGUGGUAAGUGCAAGUCCCAGUGAGAAGCUUCUAAGAGAACCGCAGGCUGAAAAUAACAAACUGUUGUCCAGACUGCCUGGGCUCGGGAGCACAGGGCGACCAAUAGCCAAUGGAACACGUAUGUAUUUCAGCAUAAAUACAGCUAUGAAUAGCAAGUAGAUUUUGACUUCCCAAAACAUUAUCAGGAGGCAUUUUUGGUAAUCUGUAACACUGAAGAAGUAUGGUGGGAAUGGAGCUGAGGAGGAUUCGCCGGGGCUGGCUCCUGUGCACGCUCUGGGCACCGUGUUUUGUUGAUCCCCCCCUUCUGGUUAGAAGAGGACAAGGAAGAUGGCAGCUUUCAUUUCCAGUUCAGGAUGCUGACAGCAGCAACAAACAUCUCGGCUGUUCAGCAGCGGGGUACCCUGGUUAAAGCUGUCUUGCUGUUCACAAGAGGUGUGGUUUUUGCUGGCUGAGAACAAGCGGCGGAUCUGGAGCACGCAGGCGACGUGGGAGUCCCGGCUGGAGGAAGCCCAGAAGAAGUGGGAGCACCAGCACGCUGCAGCGGCUCAGGCGUUUCCCAGUAAUGGGCAUCGCAGCCAGAUACCUUAACCUCUGCUCUUCUGCUUCUGAUGUUUUCCCCUUCUUGUCAUCUUUAAGACUCGUUGCUCACACACUUCUCUGCCAGCAAUGCCCCGACGAGACCCUCCAGGGGCUUUUCAGCCUGGGUAAACUGGCAAUAACGUAGCCCUGGGUUAAGGGUCCACAAUAUAAUAGCAAAUCUCUC